GAUGAAGAACGUAGCGAAAUGCGAUACGUAAUGUGAAUUGCAGAAUUCAGUGAAUCAUCGAAUCUUUGAACGCAUAUUGCGCUCUCUGGUAUUCCGGAGAGCAUGCUUGUUUGAGUAUCAGUAAACACCUCAACUUCCAUAUCUUUUUUGAAAUGGGAGUUGGACUUGAGUGAUCCCAACGCUUUUCCUCACCGAAAAGUGGCGGGUUACUUGAAAUGCAGGUGCAGCUGGACUUUUCUCUGAGCUAUACGCAUAUCUAUUUAGUCUGCCUAAAAAACAGAUUAUUACCUUUGCUGCAGCUAACAUAAAGGAGAUUAGUUCUUGUGCUGACUGAUGCAGGAUUCACAAAGACAGGCUUCGGCCGACUUUGUAAACUCGAUCUCAAAUCAAGUAAGACUACCCGCUGAACUUAAGCAUAUCAAUAAGCGGAGGA
rnacentral:misc_RNA from 1 species